UGCGUAGGCGGAAAAUUAAGUCAGUGAUGAAAUCCUGCAGCUCAACUGUAGAACUGUCAUUGAUACUGAUUUUCUUGAAUUUAGUUGAGGUAGGCGGAAUGUGUAGUGUAGCGGUGAAAUGCUUAGAUAUUACACAGAACACCGAUUGCGAAGGCAGCUUACUAAGCUAACAUUGACGCUGAGGCACGAAAGCGUGGGGAGCGAACAGGAUUAGAUACCCUGGUAGUCC
rnacentral:rRNA from 1 species